rnacentral:rRNA from 1 species
GUGAGGAAUAUUGCGCAAUGGAGGCAACUCUGACGCAGCCAUGCCGCGUGCAGGAAGAAGGCGCUACGCGUUGUAAACUGCUUUUAACCGGGAAGAAACCCCAGGACGUGUCCUGGGUUGACGGUACCGGAGGAAUAAGCACCGGCUAACUUCGUGCCAGCAGCCGCGGUAAUACGAAGGGUGCAAGCGUUAUCCGGAUUCAUUGGGUUUAAAGGGUGCGUAGGCGGAGCGUUAAGUCAGUGGUGAAAUCCUGCAGCUUAACUGUAGACUUGCCAUUGAUACUGGCGCUCUUGAGUGCGCUUGAAGUGGGCGGAAUGUGCCGUGUAGCGGUGAAAUGCUUAGAUAUGGCACAGAACACCAAUUGCGAAGGCAGCUCACUAAGGCGAUACUGACGCUGAUGCACGAAAGCGUGGGGAUCGAACAGGAUUAGAAACCCUGGUAGUCC